rnacentral:rRNA from 1 species
GACGAACGCUGGCGGCGUGCUUAACACAUGCAAGUCGAACGAUGAAGCCGGAGCUUGCUCUGGUGAAUUAGUGGCGAACGGGUGAGUAACACGUGAGUAACCUGCCCUUGACUCUGGGAUAACUGCGGGAAACUGUAGCUAAUACCGGAUACGACCCUCGGAGGCAUCUCCUGGGGGUGGAAAGAAUUUCGGUCAAGGAUGGACUCGCGGCCUAUCAGCCAGUUGGUGAGGUAAAGGCUCACCAAGGCGACGACGGGUAGCCGGCCUGAGAGGGUGACCGGCCACACUGGGACUGAGACACGGCCCAGACUCCUACGGGAGGCAGCAGUGGGGAAUUUUGGACAAUGGGCGCAAGCCUGAUCCAGCCAUGCCGCGUGCAGGAUGAAGGCCUUCGGGUUGUAAACUGCUUUUGUACGGAACGAAACGGCGCUUUCUAAUAAAGAGCGCUAAUGACGGUACCGUAAGAAUAAGCACCGGCUAAC